GUUCCUCAUGGUAACUUCCGGUUACAUUACGUUUUCUUGAAAUAUCAAUACAAAAACAUGAAAAAGCGGAAUACCAUAGUAAAUAAUAGGAAUUAUGGCUGAAGGUGUGAUUUUUUUUCUCCUGGCUUGUUCCCGAUUUGCAGAACUAUCACCAGGACAAAGGAAUUCAGUGAAGUAUGGCGAGAGACUUGGAUCUACAAUGUACAUGUAGUUCGUCUUUGUGAACUCGCUCACGAACUUAAUCUUGAGCGUUGAGAUAUUCUCAUGGUGAAUAUGUAGACGUCGAUACUCGACGCAGAUCAGUGUUCCUUGGAUCAGAGAAGGUGAUAUUGGACCAACUUCAAGUCAGUCAUUCCAAGUUUCUAACUGGUAUGAUGUGUUGAAAUUUUCUCAGCUUAUUAGAUCAGCUCUAGGACUAAAAGUAAUUGUUCUUUUCACAUGUUUACUAUAUGCUUAGUAUGGAAAUUACUUCAAGAUCAAUCAUAUUAUAAUAGCUAUUUACAGAGUAUUUAGCAUGGUCAAAUAUUUUAAUAUUUUUAUUACUUUAUUUAAAACAAGACUGUAUAAUAUGAAGUGUUGAAGUUCUUUUAUCUUGCCUCUGAUAAAAAUCUGUGAAAUUCAUUGGUCGAAAAGAAUACUGCAUGAAACAAUGUUAUGCUGUCUACCCAAAUCAUAAUGCUAAUGUGCCCCCUCAACGUGACCUACCCACCACACAUCAAAUCAAUAUGCCCCCUCCAUGUGCCAUUCUGCACAGAUCAUAGUCAAUACGUUGUUUUCAUUUGAAAGCACAAAGAGCCUAAUAAUUGACGUGAUAUAUACAUUAAAUGAUAAAAAAAAUUCUUCAAAUACAAUUCAUUUAGUGGAUAUAUCAUUUGAGUCUAAAUACCGAAAGAGGAAAAGAGAAAAUAUAUAGCUGUAUAGGGAAUUGAACCUACAUGUAAAACUCCUGCAUUCCUAGUUAGGCGUUAAACCGAUUGAGUUACCCUGGCCAAUAUUCACAGUUCAGUUAAAUCAUUAAAAAAAACACAUAAUAAUUUCAUAAGCACAACUUAGUUGAUCUUACAGUUAGAGAAACAUAUAGGCAGCAAAAAGAAAAAUAAAUUAAUUUAAAAAUAUUUAUUUACAUUUAUAUAAAUUACAUAUAUUGAAAAUAAAAUUGGAAGUUGAAAUAGUUUUUCAAUUGAAUGA